UGCGUCGACGAAUUUUUAUGAAUUGUUUAUUGGAGCAAAACUCAUUAAAUGAAUGCUUUUGGCCACACCCCGGUUGAAUCACUGUGUGCACCGAGCACAAAGCGCAACAAACAUGCAACACAAUCGAGCGAAUGUGGUGCUAGCAUGUGACCAAGGCGAAGUGGUCACAUCAAGCGCACUCAUUCUUUUGUUUACCCUAGCAAGUGGCACUGCAUAAAUUGGCCAGUUGUGCGUUCGGCAGUCACAACGAACGAUCGCAUCAAUGGGUCAACUGUAGUGGCAUCUCUUCAAUUUCUUUCGGCAACUGUUGCACCUGGGCAUUUCCCUCAUGCUGCACACUUGCUUGCAAUAAAUACUGCCGAAAAGUGCAAUUUGUUGAAGCUUGGUUUGUUGGGCUAGUUGAGAAAACAGCACUCAAGGAGACAAUUCACAACCAAAGAAAAACACGCCCCCUUUAAAUCACUUGUUUGUAAUUUUGUGAUGUGGUCUUUCGUGAUUUGUAAUUUCGUGAGCCUGUCUA
rnacentral:lncRNA from 1 species